UCACAAUGAACAUGGAAGAAGCACCGUUUCGAGUUUCGCCUUGUCCACCUUGCGCACCUUUGGUUUGGGUACGAACACAAUGGAAAACAGCAUCCUGGAGGAGGUGCAACACCUGCAGAAUGUGAUCAAGACUGAAAAAGGUAAACCUUUUAGCACAGCACGUCUCUUCGCUUGAAUACAGCGUUUGAAUACAGCGAUCACAAAUUCCAGAACGUGCUCAAAUCCAUGUCAGAUCUUCUGAUGCUGGAGGGCUCUAUGUGGGCCAGGGUAAACGUGUGUGUCUUGGAGAAGGACUGGCCAUAAUGGAAAUGUUUCUGUUUCCUGUAGCCUUGCUCCAGAGGUUCUCCUUCUCUGCUCCUGAUGGGGUGAAGCUGAACACCGAGG